rnacentral:rRNA from 1 species
ACACCGCCCGUCGCUACUACCGAUUGAAUGGUCUAGUGAGGGCACCGGACUGGCCGCCCUUGGAGCGCUACCGCCUCGCGGCAGCGCCUCGAGGUCGACGGAAAGGUGUCCGAAGCUGGGUCAUUUGAGGAAGUAAAAGUCGUAACAAGGUUUCCGUAGGUGAACCUGCGGAAGGAUCAU